ensembl:lncRNA
CCUUGGUGCCCGUCUUCGCCCAUUUGCGCAUUUUCCUUUAAACUAUCGUGCCCAGCGCCUGCGUGGCAGCCCUGUCUCUUCUGGGGACCCCUGGGCUGGAGUGGAUAGGGCUGCGCCCACUGGGCAAACUCCGCAGUCUCCGGGCCAUUGAGAGACAGACUCCCGAGCAGGCGCCCUGCGGGGUCUCCACGAGGUCCUGGGGGAGCCCUGGAAGCGGGUCCCUGGGCAGGGGACCCAAGACCCCAUCUCUAACUGGAGGACUGAGCCGCCUCCUCCCUCUGGAGACCUGCCCCCGGAUGCCCCGCCCCUUUUUCGUGACCCCCACCUGACCCGGAAGCCAGGCCCGACUGUCUCCAGAAGGACUUGGAGCAGAGGGAAGAGUUCCUCUUGUGUGCUUCUCUUCCCGCUGCGUCCCGCGACUCUGCCUACACGCCUCUGGCCGACCACCCCGUGCCGUGGAGACCCUCGACUUGCUGGCCUUGUGGUGAAGCAACAGGAGCAGAGUUGAUCUUGUUCAAAGCCUACAGAAAAUUGAAGAACAUCACAGGGAAAAAGUAACUGAAGAGUUGGAAAGGGAUACUUAGUUCUGGAGGAGGAAGAGAAGAAAAAGCAUAUUUUGCUGAGCUAAAGGAGUAGGAUAUAGGUUUCAUCAGGGAAGAGAUUAUGUCGGUUUGGCUCAUUGCUGUACCUCUAGUGCCUAGGGCAGUGUCCGGCACGUGAUAAGCCCACGGGUAGAUGUCUUUUGCUGCUUGAAACUUGGCAUUUCUGAAACGCACUCAGUAUGUAAAUAUCUAUCUACUCUAGGAACAUGUACCAAUGUUUGACUGUUUCCUAGAAAUAUGCUCACUACUAAGCAAUCUGUUCAGGCUACUACUCUGCUGUGGAAGAUUCCCCUUCUCUGAAUGAGAGGCAGAAAGGCACCUCCCGUCAUGGAGAAGGUCAUCAGUAUUUGUAUCUAUAGUUCCUGGGAGUUUUGUGGAAUGUCAGUGUAUUAAUCUAUCUGAAGCUAAUUUAAAUAACGUCAUUAUCAUAAUUAAAAGUCAAAACCUUUACGUGAGGUUAAAUCAGAGAGAUCUCUUUCCUGGCUUGGCUGAAAAUACUAAGCCACAAAUGUUUCCUCUACACACCCCAUCUCCUUCUGCCAGUAACUCUUAAUUACUAAUGCACAUUGUUAGCUCCCCUCCACUUCAAAAAAUUUAAGUGCUUCUUGUGUAGGCAAUUUCAAAGAGAUCCAGAAGAAUCUAAUUAUGCUGAAAAUUUAAAUCCACCAUAUUUUCAGUGUCUUCCAAGUAUUUGGCAGAGGGUUAUCUACCAUUGCUGAUAUAAAUCAACUCUAAAAUAUUAUCCUGUUUCGCUUUAUUCUAAGUUUUGUAAUAAAAUGAAAUGCAGGUGUGUCUGGGGAAUUACAAAUGUGACCUUUUAAACAGUACUAUGUUGCACCCAAUUCUACAGUGAUAUUUUGAAAUAUGUGAUUAUCGAUUUGCUACUUUUUAUAUUUCUAAUAACUUUAACAUCUCCUAAAUGCCCUGCACUUACCAAUCAGUAAAGCACUAGCCAAAUGAAUCAGAUAGCAAUAAUUAGCCUAGUGCACACGUUUUCUGAGUAAUAGAAGGGAUUCAGGAUAAAAUAAACCUGUAUAGUAUGUUUUCUAUACUUUGCUAAAUGAUCAGAGAGAUUUCUACCCUAUGUUUGCUAACCUUCUUAUUGUAGGCAGAAUUCUGGUAUUAAAGAGCAGCAUUCUAAAAACUCAAGAUAAUUGGGCACUCUCAAUUCAGAGGUUUUUGCAAAUCCAUGAAUAAUUGCACAUAGUUAUGUGUGUAUAUACCAAAAG